GGAAUGCGACCCCAGGAUGGGCGGGGCCACCCGCCGAGUUUAAGCAUAUCAAUAAGCGGAGGAGGA
rnacentral:rRNA from 1 species